UUAAGUUCAGCGGGUAUCCCUACCUGAUCCGAGGUCAAUCAUGAAAAAAUGGGGGGUUUUGGCAGGACACCACCAGGACCCUAUAGCGAGGAGUAUUACUACGCUUAGAGCCUGAAGGCACCGCCACUGAUUUUAGAGGCUGCCGUCGCCGGCAGGCCUCAACACCAAGCUGAGCUUGAGGGGUGAUAAUGACGCUCGAA
rnacentral:misc_RNA from 1 species